UACCCCAACUGCUUAGAUUCAUUAUAGAGAGCAACUAAAAUAUCUAUGUGAAGAAUGUGAAUAAUCUGAUUUGUGGGGGCAGCUUCCAAAUUCAUUAACUUUGAAAAUAAUUUUCCUUGUUACUAAAGAGUUUCUAAUUAGAUUACGAUGUCAGGACCUCGAAGAGGUGCAGACAUGAUACAUGAGAGGAAGACUAUUCCAUCAUAAAGUAAAAGCAGCUGAGAUUCAAUACCCACUGAAAUAACUUUUAAGAAUCAAUUUCUUCAAUACAAGAAUAAGCAUUAAAUAUUUAUAAAUCCUCAUCAGAA